rnacentral:lncRNA from 1 species
UGUCAGACAGUUAUUUUCUUUUGAACACUGAGUUUUGAUUUGUUAUUUAAACUAAGGUUUGAUUAUUAAAUAUUAAAAAAUUUAUUUAACUGUUUGUAAAGAUAUCAUGAUGAGAUGCCUUGUAUGCUUAUGGAAAAAGUAUUCUAUAAGUAUGCGGCGGUUGCCAUGACCCUCGAUUCAAAUCUCGGGUCGGGGGCGUGACAAUUAAUAUGGUAUCAGAGCAUAAGUAGAUAGAUAGAGACAUGUAGAAUAGAGUGAGAGAGUGAUGGGUAGACAUUAGGAAAUUGAAAGGUUAGUUACGAUGAUUAUGAUUUGACUUGUCACAAGUUAUAACCUUAUUAAGGAUAAGUUAUUAUCUCAAAUCUAACAUAGGCCAUUAUGCCUCCACGACGAGCGAGGAAUACUCAAGGAGCGGUAGGAGGGACAUCAAAUCCACCUGGCGAUAAUACUCCCCAAUUAAACAGCGGCACAACUCAGCAGGAGGGAAUCCUUGAUCCUACCGAAAAUACUCCGACAGUACAGGAGGAGCCGAACAUGACUCAACUAAUGCAAACUCUGAUCGGAGUAGUUCAAACACAGCAACAGUUACUUCAACAACAACAUGCACAGUCACGUAAGCAUUUUCCACCGAUACUUGGACAUGGAGAACAUCCGAUGCAGAGAAACAAUAUCAUCAAAUUUAAGAAGCUAGCUCCUCCAGCCUUCAAAGGGACC